rnacentral:sRNA from 1 species
CACCUGGUCAGGACCCCGAUGUUGGGAA